rnacentral:rRNA from 1 species
UAAGGGCGCACGGUGGAUGCCUUGGCACUAGAAGCCGAUGAAGGACGUUACUAACGACGAUAUGCUUUGGGGAGCUGUAAGUAAGCUUUGAUCCAGAGAUUUCCGAAUGGGGAAACCCAGCAUGAGUUAUGUCAUGUUAUCGAUAUGUGAAUACAUAGCAUAUCAGAAGGCACACCCGGAGAACUGAAACAUCUUAGUACCCGGAGGAAGAGAAAGAAAAUUCGAUUCCCUUAGUAGCGGCGAGCGAAACGGGAAGAGCCCAAACCAACAAGCUUGCUUGUUGGGGUUGUAGGACACUCUAUACGGAGUUACAAAGGACGACAUUAGACGAAUCAUCUGGAAAGAUGAAUCAAAGAAGGUAAUAAUCCUGUAGUCGAAAAUGUUGUCUCUCUUGAGUGGAUCCUGAGUACGACGGAGCACGUGAAAUUCCGUCGGAAUCUGGGAGGACCAUCUCCUAAGGCUAAAUACUCUCUAGUGACCGAUAGUGAACCAGUACCGUGAGGGAAAGGUGAAAAGCACCCCGGAAGGGGAGUGAAAUAGAACCUGAAACCGUGUGCUUACAAGUAGUCAGAGCCCGUUAAUGGGUGAUGGCGUGCCUUUUGUAGAAUGAACCGGCGAGUUACGAUUUGAUGCAAGGUUAAGCAGUAAAUGUGGAGCCGUAGCGAAAGCGAGUCUGAAUAGGGCGUUUAGUAUUUGGUCGUAGACCCGAAACCAGGUGAUCUACCCUUGGUCAGGUUGAAGUUCAGGUAACACUGAAUGGAGGACCGAACCGACUUACGUUGAAAAGUGAGCGGAUGAACUGAGGGUAGCGGAGAAAUUCCAAUCGAACCUGGAGAUAGCUGGUUCUCUCCGAAAUAGCUUUAGGGCUAGCCUCAAGUGAUGAUUAUUGGAGGUAGAGCACUGUUUGGACGAGGGGCCCCUCUCGGGUUACCGAAUUCAGACAAACUCCGAAUGCCAAUUAAUUUAACUUGGGAGUCAGAACAUGGGUGAUAAGGUCCGUGUUCGAAAGGGAAACAGCCCAGACCACCAGCUAAGGUCCCAAAAUAUAUGUUAAGUGGAAAAGGAUGUGGCGUUGCCCAGACAACUAGGAUGUUGGCUUAGAAGCAGCCAUCAUUUAAAGAGUGCGUAAUAGCUCACUAGUCGAGUGACACUGCGCCGAAAAUGUACCGGGGCUAAACAUAUUACCGAAGCUGUGGAUUGUCCUUUGGACAAUGGUAGGAGAGCGUUCUAAGGGCGUUGAAGCAUGAUCGUAAGGACAUGUGGAGCGCUUAGAAGUGAGAAUGCCGGUGUGAGUAGCGAAAGACGGGUGAGAAUCCCGUCCACCGAUUGACUAAGGUUUCCAGAGGAAGGCUCGUCCGCUCUGGGUUAGUCGGGUCCUAAGCUGAGGCCGACAGGCGUAGGCGAUGGAUAACAGGUUGAUAUUCCUGUACCACCUAUAAUCGUUUUAAUCGAUGGGGGGACGCAGUAGGAUAGGCGAAGCGUGCGAUUGGAUUGCACGUCUAAGCAGUAAGGCUGGGUAUUAGGCAAAUCCGGUACUCGUUAAGGCUGAGCUGUGAUGGGGAGAAGACAUUGUGUCUUCGAGUCGUUGAUUUCACACUGCCGAGAAAAGCCUCUAGAUAGAAAAUAGGUGCCCGUACCGCAAACCGACACAGGUAGUCAAGAUGAGAAUUCUAAGGUGAGCGAGCGAACUCUCGUUAAGGAACUCGGCAAAAUGACCCCGUAACUUCGGGAGAAGGGGUGCUCUUUAGGGUUAACGCCCAGAAGAGCCGCAGUGAAUAGGCCCAAGCGACUGUUUAUCAAAAACACAGGUCUCUGCUAAACCGUAAGGUGAUGUAUAGGGGCUGACGCCUGCCCGGUGCUGGAAGGUUAAGAGGAGUGGUUAGCUUCUGCGAAGCUACGAAUCGAAGCCCCAGUAAACGGCGGCCGUAACUAUAACGGUCCUAAGGUAGCGAAAUUCCUUGUCGGGUAAGUUCCGACCCGCACGAAAGGCGUAACGAUUUGGGCACUGUCUCAACGAGAGACUCGGUGAAAUCAUAGUACCUGUGAAGAUGCAGGUUACCCGCGACAGGACGGAAAGACCCCGUGGAGCUUUACUGUAGCCUGAUAUUGAAAUUCGGCACAGCUUGUACAGGAUAGGUAGGAGCCUUUGAAACGUGAGCGCUAGCUUACGUGGAGGCGCUGGUGGGAUACUACCCUAGCUGUGUUGGCUUUCUAACCCGCACCACUUAUCGUGGUGGGAGACAGUGUCAGGCGGGCAGUUUGACUGGGGCGGUCGCCUCCUAAAAGGUAACGGAGGCGCUCAAAGGUUCCCUCAGAAUGGUUGGAAAUCAUUCAUAGAGUGUAAAGGCAUAAGGGAGCUUGACUGCGAGACCUACAAGUCGAGCAGGGUCGAAAGACGGACUUAGUGAUCCGGUGGUUCCGCAUGGAAGGGCCAUCGCUCAACGGAUAAAAGCUACCCCGGGGAUAACAGGCUUAUCUCCCCCAAGAGUUCACAUCGACGGGGAGGUUUGGCACCUCGAUGUCGGCUCAUCGCAUCCUGGGGCUGUAGUCGGUCCCAAGGGUUGGGCUGUUCGCCCAUUAAAGCGGUACGCGAGCUGGGUUCAGAACGUCGUGAGACAGUUCGGUCCCUAUCCGUCGUGGGCGUAGGAAAUUUGAGAGGAGCUGUCCUUAGUACGAGAGGACCGGGAUGGACAUACCUCUGGUGUACCAGUUGUCGUGCCAACGGCAUAGCUGGGUAGCUAUGUGUGGACGGGAUAAGUGCUGAAAGCAUCUAAGCAUGAAGCCCCCCUCAAGAUGAGAUUUCCCAACUUCGGUUAUAAGAUCCCUCAAAGAUGAUGAGGUUAAUAGGUUCGAGGUGGAAGCAUGGUGACAUGUGGAGCUGACGAAUACUAAUCGAUCGAAGACUUAAUCAA